rnacentral:rRNA from 1 species
CCUACGGGAGGCAGCAGUGGGGAAUAUUGCGCAAUGGGGGAAACCCUGACGCAGCAACGCCGCGUGGGUGAAGAAGGCCUUCGGGUCGUAAAGCCCUUUCGGACGGGACGAACGCUCCGCGGUGACAACCCGCGGAGCCUGACGGUACCGUAAGAAGAAGCACCGGCUAACUCCGUGCCAGCAGCCGCGGUAAUACGGAGGGUGCAAGCGUUGUUCGGAAUUACUGGGCGUAAAGCGCGUGUAGGCGGCCUUGCAAGCCAGACGUGAAAGCCCUCGGCUUAACCGGGGAAGUGCGUCUGGAACUGCUCGGCUCGAGUACGGGAGAGGGGGGCGGAAUUCCCAGUGUAGAGGUGAAAUUCGUAGAUAUUGGGAGGAACACCGGUGGCGAAAGCGGCCUCCUGGACCGAUACUGACGCUGAGACGCGAAAGCGUGGGGAGCAAACAGGAUUAGAUACCCUGGUAGUCCACGCGGUAAACGAUGGGCACUAGGUGUGGGGGGUAUCCACUCCUCCCGUGCCGCAGCUAACGCAUUAAGUGCCCCGCCUGGGGAGUACGGCCGCAAGGUUAAAACUCAAAGGAAUUGACGG